rnacentral:piRNA from 1 species
UUGGGAAACUAACCAAGGAGAGAG